GGAAGUAAAAGUCGUAACGAGGUUUCCGUAGGUGAACCUGCGGAAGGAUCAUUAUUGUAUAACCGAGGUGCGAGGGCUGUCGCUGACCCGAAAGGUCGUGCACGCCCGAGUGCCCUCACACACAUCCAUCUCACCCCUAUGUGCACCACCGCGUGGGUCCCCCCUUGGCUUGUUCGGAGGGGGGCUUACGUUUUCACACAAACUUUGUAUGCAGUGUAGAAUGUAUUUUUUGUUUUUGCGAUCACGCAAUCAAUACAACUUUCAACAACGGAUCUCUUGGCUCUC
rnacentral:misc_RNA from 1 species